rnacentral:rRNA from 1 species
ACUCCUACGGGAGGCAGCAGUGGGGAAUAUUGCACAAUGGGGGAAACCCUGAUGCAGCCAUGCCGCGUGUGUGAAGAAGGCCUUCGGGUUGUAAAGCACUUUCAGUAGGAGGAAGGUAGUGUAGUUAACACCUGCAUUAUUUGUACGUUACCUACAGAAGAAGCACCGGCUAACGUCCGUGCCAGCAGCCGCGGUAAUACGGAGGGUGCGAGCGUUAAUCGGAAUUACUGGGCGUAAAGCGCAUGCAGGCGGCCUGUUAAGUCAGAUGUGAAAGCCCGGGGCUUAACCUCGGAAUUGCAUUUGAAACUGGCAGGCUAGAGUCUUGUAGAGGGGUUAGAAUUUCAGGUGUAGCGGUGAAAUGCGUAGAGAUCUGAAGGAAUACCAGU